GACGAACGCUGGCGGCGUGCCUAAUACAUGCAAGUCGAGCGGACUAAUGGGAGCUUGCUCCCGUUAGUUAGCGGCGGACGGGUGAGUAACGCGUGGGCAACCUACCUGUAAGACUGGGAUAACUUCGGGAAACCGGAGCGAAUACCGGAUGACAUAAAGGAACUCCUGUUCCUUUAUUGAAAGAUGGCUUCGGCUAUCACUUACAGAUGGGACUGCGGCGCAUUAGCUAGUUGGGGAGGUAACGGCUCACCAAGGCGACGAUGCGUAGCCGACCUGAGAGGGUGAUCGGCCACACGGGGACUGAGACACGGCCCAGACUCCUACGGGAGGCAGCAGUAGGGAAUCUUCCGCAAUGGACGAAAGUCUGACGGAGCAACGCCGCGUGAGCGAUGAAGGCCUUCGGGUCGUAAAGCUCUGUUGUUAGGGAAGAAUAAGUGCUAGUUGAAUAAGCUGGCACCUUGACGGUACCUAACCAGAAAGCCACGGCUAACUACGUGCCAGCAGCCGCCGUAAGAC
rnacentral:rRNA from 1 species